rnacentral:rRNA from 1 species
UAGGGAAUAUUGGACAAUGGGUGAGAGCCUGAUCCAGCCAUGCCGCGUGCAGGAAGAAGGCGUUAUGCGUUGUAAACUGCUUUUUGCCAGGGGAUAAAAUGAGCGUGCGCGCUUAAUUGAAGGUACCUGGUGAAUAAGCCACGGCUAACUACGUGCCAGCAGCCGCGGUAAUACGUAGGUGGCAAGCGUUGUCCGGAUUUAUUGGGUUUAAAGGGUGCGUAGGUGGCCCUGUAAGUCAGUGGUGAAAUAUCUCAGCUUAACUGAGAGGGUGCCAUUGAUACUGCAGGGCUUGAGUACAGAUGAGGUAGGCGGAAUUGACGGUGUAGCGGUGAAAUGCAUAGAUAUCGUCAAGAACACCGAUAGCGAAGGCAGCUUACCAAGCUGUAACUGACACUGAGGCACGAAAGUGUGGGGAUCAAACAGGAUUAGAUACCCGUGUAGUCCCUGAGCGGGCUGGCAAGGCGCAU